rnacentral:rRNA from 1 species
UGCCAGCCGCCGCGGUAAUACGGAGGAUCCAAGCGUUAUCCGGAUUUAUUGGGUUUAAAGGGUCCGUAGGCGGGUCUUUAAGUCAGUGGUGAAAGCCUGCAGCUUAACUGUAGAAUUGCCAUUGAUACUGAUAUUCUUGAGUAUAGAUGAAGUGGGCGGAAUAUGUCAUGUAGCGGUGAAAUGCAUAGAUAUGACAUGGAACACCAAUUGCGAAGGCAGCUCACUAAACUAUUACUGACGCUCAUGAACGAAAGCAUGGGGAGCAAACAGGAUUAGAUA